rnacentral:lncRNA from 10 species
GAGUAGCUGGCAUUACAGGCAUGAGGCACCACGCCCGGCUAAUUUUUGUGUUUUCAGUAGAGAUGGGGUUUCCCCAUGUUGGCCAGGCUGGUCUCGAACUAUGGACCUCAAGUGAUGUGCCUGCCUUGGCCUCCCAAAGUGCUGGGAUUACAGGUGUGAGCCACCGUGCCCGGCCCAGGCCCCCUCUUUGACCCCUUCCCCUCCACUUCUGACCUUGGUCAGACCUUGGCUUUCCCUGAGUUCUAACCAAGAACUUGUCCAAACUACUUCUCUGAAGUCAGCCAGGCCCGAGGGAAAAGCUGGACCGGUGAGGUGCAGGGUCGCAGGCCUCAGUGGCCAUCCUGACCUGUGCUGAGCCUGGGCCUGGAGGACACUGGUUUGGUCUUGGACUCCAGGAAGCUGGUGACGAAGCACCUGGCCUCGCGCUGGCCGAGCCUUCCCACCUGGCACGAAGCCACCACGCUGCGGAAGAAGCCCAGGCCCACGGCCUGGCGGGGCAGGUGUGGGCUGAGGUUGGUGGCCCAGGUCCCCGUGCCACGGCCCGCUUGUGCCCACCCCGGGGCCCCCUCCUACCUCCUGCACCUGCGCCCACAGGUGAGGGCUGAUGUAUGUGGCCAGGGGCCCCAGGGCCUGUAGCCCCUCCAGUGUCCAGGAGCCAGGGGGCCUUGUGCACAGAAUGGGGCGCAGUGUUGGGUCCAGGGCAGGCCCCCCGCCCUGGGAGCCCCUGCCCCUCUGUGGACACCCAGCAGGCCGGAGGAGC